AUUCUCGCUACCCCCAAUGGCUAGUCAUUUCACAAAAUGCAAGUAUGAUGUAACACUGAUGUGUAAUCCGAUGUGGCACAGAUAGUUUCUGAUCCGGUGCAUAGUGGAUCUACCAUUCCACAAGAAAAAAAAAACAUUUUGAAACCCUAACCAUGAAUUAGGGUAUCGAACUGAGGUAAGUUAACACCACAGACGAUUGGCCUUGCAGGGAGCUUUUCUUUUCAUGCAUUGACACUGACUAGUGGACGCCGCUCUCGUCGGCAUAGUGCUUCAUAUGCCGUUAAUCCCUUGCAAAUCAAUGCUGUUUCUUUUGCCCAUUUGAAUGUGGGCAGGAUCUCUUGUUGCAUUCCCAUUGAGAGAAUUCUUUCCAAGGCAUCUGGCGAAGUUGCAGAGUGGCAGUAGGAGGAGCUUU